ensembl:snoRNA Gm24177 predicted gene, 24177
CCUGGUCCUAGAGGCAUGACCAUUGAAACACUGUGCUUCAGUAGAUGGGAGGUGCUUCAGAGAGGAGAGAGACUAUGUCUACACCGACUGUUCUGACCUGUGAACAUCUGAAUGAUUAGUAGCCUAACAUU